rnacentral:rRNA from 1 species
UACGAAGGGUGCAAGCGUUAAUCGGAAUUACUGGGCGUAAAGCGCGCGUAGGUGGUUCAGUAAGUUGGAAGUGAAAUCCCCGGGCUCAACCUGGGAACUGCUUUUGUGACUGCAAGGCUAGAGUACGGCAGAGGGUGGUGGAAUUUCCUGUGUAGCGGUGAAAUGCGUAGAUAUAGGAAGGAACACCAGUGGCGAAGGCGACCACCUGGACUGAUACUGACACUGAGGUGCGAAAGCGUGGGGAGCAAACAGG